AUACGGAGGGUCCAAGCGUUAUCCGGAUUCAUUGGGUUUAAAGGGUCCGCAGGCGGGAAAAUAAGUCAGUGGUGAAAGCCUACAGCUCAACUGUAGAACUGCCAUUGAAACUGUUUUUCUUGAGUAUAGAUGAAGUGGGCGGAAUAUAUCAUGUGGCGGUGAAAUGCAUAGAUAUGAUAUAGAACACCGAUUGCGAAGGCAGCUCACUAAACUAUUACUGACGCUCAGGGACGAAAGCGUGGGGAGCGAACAGGAUUAGAAACCCUAGUAGUCC
rnacentral:rRNA from 1 species